CAUUCACCUUCUUCAUGUCAGCCCCUUCGGGACGUGCUACAUARACUUUCGAAUGACGCACAAAAAGGUGCCUGCCGUCCAACUACUGAUUAUUGCAAUGCUUUAUCAGGCCAGGGCGAAACGUUCGAGUUAGGCACCGCCUU
rnacentral:sRNA from 1 species